AGCGAACGCUGGCGGCAGGCUUAACACAUGCAAGUCGAACGGUCCUUCGGGAUAGUGGCGGACGGGUGAGUAACACGUGGGAACGUACCCUUAGGUUCGGAACAACACAGGGAAACUUGUGCUAAUACCGGAUAGGCCCUUCGGGGGAAAGAUUUAUCGCCUUUGGAGCGGCCCGCGUCUGAUUAGCUUGUUGGUGAGGUAAUGGCGCACCAAGGCUACGAGCAGUAGCUGGUCGGAGAGGAUGGCCAGCCACACUGGGACUGAGACACGGCCCAGACUCCUACGGGAGGCAGCAGUGGGGAAUCUUGCGCAAUGGGCGAAAGCCUGACGCAGCCAUGCCGCGUGGAUGAUGAAGGUCUUAGGAUUGUAAAAUCCUUUCACCGGGGACGAUAAUGACGGUACCCGGAGAAGAAGCCCCGGCUAACUUCGUGCCAGCAGCCGCGGUAA
rnacentral:rRNA from 1 species